GCUGGGUUAGCUCAGUUGGUUAGAACAUGGUGCUAAUAACACCAAGGUCACAGGUUCAAUCCCUGCUCACUGCA
rnacentral:tRNA from 1 species